rnacentral:lncRNA from 1 species
CUGAAGUUGCAGCCAGGGCUGAGACCCUAGACAUCCAUUGUUAGCCAUUACAGACAACACAGGUAGGGUACACAAGUAGGGCAUUUACACAUUGGCAGAAAAAAAGAAGAAAAUUAAAACUACCAGCCAAAAAAGAUUGACAUUAAAUUUGUAUGUGCUAAUUUAUAGUAUCGGUUCAAAUUCAGAAAGAAUCACUGUAAUUUAAAUAGAAAUACAAUGCAUCCCAUCCAAGUGAAGAGGUUGCCUGUGUGCCUCCUUAGUCUGCUGUUGAGGUCCUAACCGUGGUGGGUAAUUUCAGGGCCUCUGCCUUCCCUUCUUAUGGUUCAUAUGGGUACCCUAAACACUGGAGAAGAUGGAUUAGUGGUCUAAUUCAGUGUAAGGUAGUUUUAUAUGGUCACCUGAGCCCUCUCCAGGCAUCCUACUAACAUGUAUAGUUAUUAGUGGGGAAGAGCAUGCCAAGCUUUGUCCCUGUUGCCAUCAUCCUUCCUAAUCUGGAGGGCAAACUCCAGGGAGCCUCUGAUAGUUGUGAACUCUGCGGGGUUGUAUUUCACAUAAGUAAAUACACAGGAGUCUUCUUGUGUUGGAUCUUCCCCUUCCAACUCACAGAGGAUGAGAGAGACAGUGAAAUCAGGGAGCUUGGUGCUCACCCCCACUUUUCCCAUUCACAUGCUUGUUUUACCCAAGAGUAGAACUCGAGAAGGGGAGUAGGGUGGGGCUUUGGAAGAGAUGUUUAUCAACAACAAAUAUUCCCCUCAAAUGCCAUUUGCUGAAUUUUCUCUCAUCAACCUUUCCUGGGCCCCCCAAACCUCAAUCUCUCCCUCAGUCCAGAGGUCGGCAUCCCCCUUCUUUAGAGCACCUGUGAAUAUUCUGCAUUUUUAUGGUCAUUAUUAUGAGAUAUACAUUGUAUCCAUUAAAAAAUGCUAUUGGAUACACUGAAGGGUUUUUCUCUUUUUUUGCAGCUUGCUCUUUUAGAUGUCACACCUCUUGCCAGCAUCUGAAAUUGCCCAGUCCUCUCUCAAGAGUCUUUCCCCCCUUGAGAUAUAGCUCAUCUCCGUCUUCAGAUAUUACUUUCCACUGCAUUCUCAUUCAACACUCUGCCAGCUCCAUAACUUCCUCUUCUUUCCUGCCUGACACGUGGAUGGAGACACUAAACAGUAAAUGGAAUUAAGGGCCAUUAAAUUAAAUCUGCAGUGAGCAAAUGACAACAUGUGAAGCAAUGCAGGCUGAAGUAUUCGGUUGGUGUUGAAACUCACCUUUGAGUUUCAUUUAGUGCAAUGUCACCUGGGUCAAGUUAUGGAUCAGCCAGCUGAUGUCCCCUAAUGCCCUAGAGUUAUGCUAUGUUGAGAACUAAUGAUCUGGGGAAUUGUGAGGAAUUUAAAAUGGUGACCAUGAGUUGCUGGCCCCAGUUUAGUAAGUCCACCAGAUAGGGAUUCCACAAACAACAAGUCCAGGAUUUAGUCAUUGACAUAUCUAGGGAUGGUUGUGAAGAACUCCUAUCAGAAACACUGGAGUGGGUGGAGUUGAUAACGAGCUAGAUGGACCAGCGUUCUCAUUCACUUUCCAUGUUUUUAUAUUGCUGAUGAAAACUACCUUUGUUCAUUUGGCUUGCUUGCAAGGUUAAUUUACAGGUAUUGGCCUUCUGAAACAUUUGACUUUGGGUUUGUGAGCUACAGUUCCCAGAGUGGCUUAUCAAUCAAUUCCUCUUCACAGGGCAUUCUGGGAAUUGUAGUUCUGGGAGGGGAAAUUGGGCCUGUUAACAACUCACAGUACCCUUAACAAACUGUGGAUCUUUGGGUCAAACCAUGGCUGUUUAAAGUGGGAUCACAGUGGUUUAAAUGUAUGAUGGAAAGGCUGUAGUCCUGUACACAUUUACCAGGGACACGGGUGGCGCUGUGGUCUAAACCACCGAGCCUCUUGGGGUUGCCGAUCAGAAGGUGGGGAGUUCGAAUCCCCGUGAUGGAGUGAGCUUCCGUUGCUCUGUCCCAGCUCCUGCCACCCUAGCAGUUCGAAAGCAUGCCAGUGCAAGUAGAUAAAUAGGUACAGCUGUGGCAGGAAGGUAAACAGCAUUUCCAUGUGCUCUGGUUUCUGUCAGGGUGUUCCAUUGUGCCAGAAGCAGUUUAGUCAUGCUGGCCACAUGACCCAGAAAGCUGUCUGUGGACAAACGCCGGCUCCCUCAGCCUGAAAGCAAGAUGAGUACCGCAACCCCAUAGUUGCCUUUGACUGGAUUUAACCAUCCAGGGAUCCUUUACCUUUACCUUUUUUAUCUCACAGUAAGUCCCAUCUAGUUUUCCUUCUCUCUUCCUUGCCUCGCCCCCUGGCCCCUGGCCUUGUUCCUGGCACUUUUAUUUUAUAUUUAAUUGGGCAUUCUUCUUUAAUUUGCUGCUGUGCUGGAGGUGAGCAUGAAGAAGUGGGACUGAGAAACGGGUGGCUGUGAAAAGUGUUCCUUUCCCCGGGUCUAUGAAAACAAGCCAAAUGAGCAGUUGGUAAAGCCAUCAGCUUCUCUCCCUGAAACAUACAGCAAACAUGUGCUGUGACCUUCGCCUCUCCCCUUUGAUUUACAGCUGCAUUGGAAAGCAACUUAACGAGGUGGCAUGGAGCUUCAAGAGCUGCUGAAGUCAAUUUAUUGUCUAAGUGUUAUGGAUGUUAAUUAGAUUAGGAAUAUGC